rnacentral:lncRNA from 1 species
GAACCUUUUGUAUGAAAAUUAUGAACUUAUUUUAUAUUUUUUAAAAUUAUUUUUAAAAAAUUUUAAAUUUAAGGUGAUAAAUUUUUUUUGAUAGUAUAUACUAUAUCGGAAGACAAAAACAUGAAAGUGUAUUCAAAUAGAUAUUAAGGCCUUUACUCAAUAGGAUAAUUACAAGCUGAAUCAUGGUUGUUUAAUUGAUGUUCUAUAGUUAUUUGGAUUUGAAAAUCAAGUAACUUUUAAAGCUAUGUUUGUUUCAUGGAAAAGUUU